UGCCUAUGGUGAUGACAUAUACUCAACAACCCCUUAAAUCUCUCCCAAGACUGAUACAAAGUCUCACUGUCCUUUUAUACAAAGGUGGAAAUUUUCUUUUUUAAUGCA